AAGUGAACUUUCAAGUUUUAGCUGGUAUUCCUCGUGUUAGGGAAUUGGGACUUGGGGGAAACCCUUGUUAAUUGCUCCGCAACCCUCCUAUAAGAAUCGAAAAGGCAGAGUCACUAGAGGGAAGAAAUGAUCUUAAUAAAUAUGGAGCGCCCUGGGAAGUUUUGACAAAAUACUCAUACAGCAUAUGGCUGUUCAUUCCGCCUGUGAUUUUGUUGGGUAGUAAAGCUGAGAAACUUGCUCUUACAAAAUCUUGGUUCACAGAUGAAGAGCUGCGAAUAUAUAGGGUGAUUGUCCGUUGACACCUGAAGAGAUUGGAUUGUUGCUAGAUAUGAUUGACACCUGGCUCUAUCUAGCUUCCCACAAGGUCUAUGGUGGAGAAGCAAGGAUCUCAACUCUGAGAAGAUUACUUCCACUUAUGGAGGGUAAGAAGAGCCUUUCUCCUGCUGAGGGAAGGGAUAAGGUUGAAGGCUGCAGUUGACUAUAUGUGAGCAUGCAAGAUACCGGUAAUACUUAUACUCGGUACAUGUUUCUGCUUCAUAAGAUUGUUGGAAUUGAUUUAUAUACUGAUGCCCUAAGUAGCCUGUUAAUCUAACGUAUUUUAAAAUCAUAUCUUCAUUUUAAAAUUUGAUUUCUUCUGCUUAUUUGUGGAACUCAUGGGGCAUCUUGAAUUUAAGAUACGCAAGUUUUGUGUAUAUUGGGGUGACAAAAAUGUGGUGCCUCUGCAGUUUCCGAUGCUCACAGGAGUUGCACUUAUUACACUUGAUCCCUCAUUAUCUUGUGUUCUAUGAUAUACUGAAAUUUGAAAUGAUAUAAAUUUUAGCUUCUGGUAGGAUAUUCAAACUUUUCGUACUGGCUUACUUUUGGUUCAGUUACAACGCACAGCCGGAAAAUACAUAUGAUUGUGGCCUGUUUUUGCAUCACCAUCUACAGCUGUUUUCAGAAGAAGUUCCUGCUAUCUGCUUCAAUCCAUUGGACAUAAAGAAGUUUUCUACCUUUGAAAAUGGUCCACUUAUUUCCAUUUUCUCAUUGUUUGUUAUUUUCCCCCGGACUUAUUUGAACAGAAAAUUUUAUUUAUCUAAUAAAGAAUUUAAAAAUGCAUUUUUUAGCUUUUGCUCUGCCACUGUUACAAUUUAUAAAUGUAGAAGGUGAUGAUCAUAAGCUCUUGUAUUUUUAAGUGGGACCUAUCGAAUAUAAUCACACAGAAUAGGAAAUCAUUUCUUCUUUAUGUGUAUGCUUUUUUUAAUACUUCUGAUAGAUGUGUUUUAAGUUUUAAACACCAAGCACUUCAGUAAGGAACCAUAAUAUUUCAAAUUCUGUCAAAAAUAAUAGAAGUCAUUUUAUGAAAAUUGAUGGCUAAAAAGGCAAAGAAUUAGGAAAUUUUAAGUAAUGGUGUUGCUCUGUUUGAUCCAGCAGCCACCUACAUGUUUCCUAUUAAAGUUCUUGACUCGAAGUGUUCUAAUGCUUCUGAAUAUGGGUUUCAUUGUGAAUGCAAAUUUUCAAUACCAUAGUAUGCCAUUUUUAUCUUGGUUUUUUCCGACU